AGGAAGAGGAAGGGAUGGGGUCCCAUAUCCUCUUGGAGGCCACACCCCCAGUGACCUCACUUCCUCCCACCAGGCCCCUCCUCUUAAAGGUUCCACCACCUCCCAAUAUGGCCCUGGGCUGGGGUUCAAGCCUUCAACCCGGGGACCCCUUAUCCAAACUGUGCUGCUCAGGACUCCAGCUGACCGGAAAGCGCUCAUCUCAUGGCCCAGCGACAGAGAUCUGUCUCACUGCAUCAGUGGGGCGCUCCAGCUCAGAGUGUCCAUGCAGCACCUGUGUUCACAAUCCUGUUAGAAGGAGCUACACCGAACCACUAAAUCCUUA
rnacentral:lncRNA from 1 species